CACGUGACUAUCAAGAUGGCGAAAGUCGCAGCCGCGCAAGUGCGCCGUGCGCGACACUCCCGGCACUUGCACUGCGCUGCUGCAGAUAUAAGUAGCUUUGGAAUCCUGUGUUUACCUACAUCAACGUUUUUUUGCUCUCUAUCUCCGCACGGAUAUGAGCCGACUUCUGUAGCUAUACAACAAAGCCCUUUACUUUAGUGUUAACACGCGCGUAAGUACGAAAAAAAUUAAGAAAAUGGCAGAGGCCACGUUUAUGAAGCCGGUGAUCGAUGCUCAGGACGUCAAAACCGAACCUGUAACCCUAAAUUAUACCGCAGAAGUGAGACAAAUGAUGCAUGGGUUUGGGGAUCAUUCGGAGCCUCUGAUCGAGACUGCAAAAAUUAUUGAAGAGGUUGUUUUGAAUCAGAUGCGAGCAAUAAUUCGAAAAGCAUGUGAAGUUGCUGACAUGCGAGAGAGUCAAGUUGUGUCCGCUGAGGACUUCUUGUUUCUCUUGAGAAAAGACAAAAUCAAAUUACAGAGACUCGUCAACUACUUGAAGCUGAAAGAUUUCAAGACCUCAAUGUACAAAUCCCUGGAAACUGACACCCUUGAUCCAUUGACCGAUCUCCAUAAAACAGAAGAUACCUCUAAACUGCCAUACAUUAAGUUUUUGAAACACAUAGAUAAUACUGGUGAGUUGUUGAAUGAUAAGGAUUUGGUGGAUCAUGUGAAGCACAAAAGAUGUACAAGAAUGGAAAUGAUGACGAGGAAGAUGGAUGAGACUCGCUACUUGGAAUUCAGCAAAGCCCGAAGUGUAUCAUUUGCAAAUAAAAAUAGGCAUAAGUUCAGUGAUUGGAUUGGCUCAAGUGGAGAUUUUACUAUAUCCAAAUCAGGCUACACAGUAUUAGGCUAUUUAGCCUAUGAAACAGUGGCGCAAAUUAUAGAUCUUGCAUUUCUUGUGAGACAAGAUCAAAACAAAAUUCAAGGAGAUGCAAUAGACAGGCUUCGACUUAAUUAUCCAAAUCCUGUUACUUAUAAACCAUAUCAGUAUACCAAACCUGUCAUGACAAAGCCACUAACACCAGCAGAAGUCAAUGAGGCUCUACGUCGCUACUGGUCACCUCAGUUAGAAAUGACAGGACCCUUUCACAGUUGGACAUUGAAAAAACCACACAUGAAGUUUCUAACAUGUUGAUUGUGACUGUUGGAAGAUAUGGGAGAGGCGCUUUGUCGACUACCUCUGAUGGGAGAAUUGAAGCUUGAUGAUGGAGUUGACGAGAAACUUUUCUGUGGGGAUGAUGGGGAGAUAUGCUGGAUUGGCUGUGAGGUGGUUCGAUUAAUUUUUUAUUAUUUUAGUGAUAAGAAUUUCAUGACUAUAUAAUGAUUAUUAUGGUAAGAAGUGUGCUUGCGUUAUUGUAAGAUGAUUUUUCAUACCUUAAUUUAAGGAAGAGAAAAGGACUUGUGGUAUAUUAUUGUGGUUGUUUGUUCCCGUUAUGCUAUGUAUAUACACGUAUUGACUGAUAAGAUAAUGAACCAGAAAUUGAAGUACUCAAAUGAGUUUUACCGAUUGUUUUCCAAUUUAUAUUGAAAAUAAUGAACAAAUUAUACUCUAUUAAUAUUUUAUUUAUUUAUUUUAAAAGCUAAGGGCCACCUAUUCAUUACGUGAACAUUAUGUGAACGUUUUACGUCGAUGGCGAUUUGAGUGAGAUAUGAAAUUCAAGAAUACAACUUUGAGCAAUAUUAUGUCGCCAUUUGGUUAGCACAUACGUUAUCAAUAAUUGCCAACAAUUUAUUGAAGACUCAGAGGGCACUAAGUCAUUGGCCAUGUUUUACGAAUCCUUUGCUAUUUAUAAUGCACUAUUGAAAGCACCAAUUGAAGCUGUAUUAUUUAGGAUAAAAGUUCUUAUUAUAAAUGUAAAAAUUUGUAUUUAAAUUGUAAAUAAUUGAUAAUAAAUAACAUCAGUGUAAUUAUUCCAAAAUGUAUGAUAAAUAGAAAGUGCUUAAGACUUUCUCAAUAAUGAUAAUAAAUAAAUUGAAUAAUAACAUGUUUGUACCGCGUUAGUUUGUACGCCUAUAUAGCUACGAAUCCUGUAAAGCUUUUAUUUGUGUAAAUAUUUCCCCUGGCUUGAUAUACUAACAUCUAACUAAUGUUAUGGAUAAGUCGUCAGAUAUUCAUUUUUUAUCGAAAUUUAUAGAACUGCAAGUGGAAGUAGAACAGGGGGAUCCACUUUCGAAUCAGGAUAUAACUAUUGAAGAUGUACGACUACCUGAUGUUGGCAUUUUGAAAACAGAUCAAGACGAAUUUACCUACGAUUGGGAUGAAACUUAUUCUAAAGACGAGCUUUCUAUUAAAAAAGAAAGAUGCCAAAAAGUUCCGAUGGAAUCUCGGAAUGUUGAUAAUGAAACUUUUGAAAACAUUCAAACAGCCGGUUCAUCAACAGAGUCGGGCGAUAAAAUUUCGAACAAUCACUCUUCUUUUUCUAAUGCCCAAUGGAAAGUUAUGAAAGAUAUUGCAGAUACUCAUAUUGAAAUAGUUACUGCAAGAUCUCUUGCUAACUGCAAUGAUGAUGGUUCUAAUAAAAAUGAGUCUCAAAAUUUUCAUCACCCACAAAAUGUAAAAAAUUCGCCGAUAAUCCACGAUUCGGAAAUGUCUUCAAUUACUACACAUGCUGAUUAUGGCCAAAAUAAUAAUGAAAGUGAAAGCAUCGCGCAAGAAAAUACUUCUGAGAGGGAGUUCAUGGAAUGCAUAAGUACAUACAAAAUGAGACGAAAGAUUUCGUAUGAAGGUAUGACUCUAUUAUGUACGCAAUGCAACAAGGUUCUCAAUGUAAGCGAAACGUUGUACAUUAAAACGCGUCCAGAUAAAUGCAAAUACUGUUUGGCAUCUCUGAAGUUUGGUUGUAAAAUGUGUCGGCACAUGUUCAAUAAUCUUCGAACCGUUCAAAAUCACAUGAAAUUUUAUUGUGGAAAGGAGCCAAGAUUCAUUUGUUUACAAUGUAAUUAUAAAACUUACUGGCGCUGUGAUUUGAAGAAGCAUACUUGCAAAGUUCGCGGUGAACCACCGCAACAGUUCAUGGAAAUUCUAAGUUCUAAUGUAAACGAUGAAUACACAGACAACUUGCGCAAUAGCGGAAAAAGUUCGAAUAAUGGUGGAGAUGCUGAGACGACAGGACUCAACGACAACAAGGAACGAAAACAAUUAAAUUCUAACAAGGACUCUCUAAUUAAUUUUCAAAAAGCGCCUGAAAAUACAUCUAUCGAACCCCAGACAAGGUAUAGAAUUCGUACCCGCAGCAGUUUUCAAUUGAUGAAAUAGAUGAAGAAAAUGAACAUGGACAACAAGCUAUCACGAAUAACAAUGAUAAUGAAAUUAAGAUAAAGAAUAAACAUUCUUAUGAUGAAAACAUAAAAAUACAGAAAAAAACAAGAAAAAAAGAUCCUGCAACCAACAGAAGCAUUAUAUAUGAAAUGCAAGCCUAAAACUUGCAAAAAUUGCGAGACGUUUAUUAAGUUUGUUUGCAAGAAAUGUGAUAGGAAAUAUACUUCACUUAAUAAAGUAAAAUUUCAUAUGCGAUCUUAUUGUGGCAAAGCUUAGACUUUUGUAUGUGCAGAUUAUUGCAAUGGAAAAUUUCAGAAGAGACACAAAUCAUCAUCCUAUAUUAAGAAAUUUUAUCACAUGUGAAAUGGGUGUAGCAAGACUUGAUAUGACUUUGAUAUGACGGCUGGAUUGAAAAUAUCCUGUGUAGAAUUUUAUUUUCUCUGUGUUCUUUUCUUUACCUACCUAUAAUAAAGAAAAACUUUUUUUACCUUGAAUUAUCUGUUACCCAACUAACUCAAAUAUGUGUGUGUGUGUGUCAGAAAACUCUGUAUACUAACUUUUUAUAUGUUGAAUUAAUGAAUCUCUAACAGGUGGCUCCACAAUUACUAAUAUUUAAUAAAUUUACAUGAAAUAUUUAAAUUUUCAUGAAAAGGAAAUUUUUUGCAUGUAAGAUAUUAUACAAAAUAAAUACGAUCCUAAAAUAGAAUAAAUCCUCUUCGAAAUAUAAGUUACUUUUAAAAAAAUUAAUGUAUAUCUUCAAUGUAUACUGAUUAUAGUGAUUUUUGUGUGAUCUAUUUGGUCUUUUGUUGACUAAUAUAAUACUUUGGGCUAAUUUAAAUUGCUUCUAGAAAAUGAUGAAUUAUUAAAUUGUAUUUUCCAGAUCGCAUUUUUAAAGCUGAAUCAGUAGAAGUUUCAAUCAAUCAUGACAUAACUAAUUUCAUGAAUGACGAGCUUAUUAUUAUUAAAGAAGAGAUGUUCCAAGACAUUGGAGACGAAUCGGAGAAUGUCGAUCAUAAUACGCCCGGAAACUUCCAGGCAGCUCAGCCAUCAACAG